AGCGCGGCGCCGCCUCCUCGCCGAUUUUGGGUUCAAAAAACCCCAAAAAGGGGAAACGAAAACGCCGAAAAUUCAAAUUUUUUUCCUGUUCGGGGGCCCCGGCCGGAACCAAAAAUUGCGAAUUUCGACCCAAAAAAUCGCAGCCGUUUCAGCCCCGGAGCAGCUUUGGGGGUCGCGCCAUGGCCCAGCACGAAACCUACGGCAACUGGAUCGGCCCCAAGCGCCUCCAGCGGCAGCCGGGAAUUUACUCCGUGGCCGGGAAGAUU